UACGUAGGGGGCUAGCGUUGUCCGGAUUUAUUGGGCGUAAAGAGCGUGUAGGCGGCCAGGUAGGUCCGUUGUGAAAACUCGAGGCUCAACCUCGAGACGUCGGCGGAAACCCUCUGGCUAGAGUCCGGAAGAGGAGAGUGGAAUUCCUGGUGUAGCGGUGAAAUGCGCAGAUAUCAGGAAGAACACCCGUGGCUAAGGCGGCUUGCUGGGCCUUACCUGACGCUGAGGAGCGAAAGCGUGGGGAGCGAACAGG
rnacentral:rRNA from 1 species